AUUUGCAGUUUCUAAGACUAUUAGAUAAAUCUACGCAUAAUGAUUCCAGAAUUCUGCCCCUUGGUUCCCAAGUCACAGAUCAUUGAAAAAAAUGUUUCUCCUCCAUGCUGCUGCUGUUUCUCUCUUUCCACCCAAUUAUCUUGAUGACAAAGCCCCUUUGGCAAAGUUGCUUGAUGUGAAGCAGCCAAUUUACUGUUGAUCACAUGACUCGGUGUCUUGUUCUGACCUCUGCUGGAGAGGUACCCAGCCCAGAAGGCGGUGGGAAUAUAAAUGAAGGGGGAGAAAGCACAAUGCAGGGAGGGGGGAGGUGGCUGACCAGCAGAGAAGCUGCUUUUCCUGGAGCAAAGGAGAGGAAGAAGGCCCCAAAAACAAUGGCUGAGAUGACAAUAAACAAAGCACAGCUGAGCAAGACGGUUGGAUCAAAGGGCUUCUCUGAAAGUGAAAAGGAAUCUGGUCCCAUCAAUCAAAUUAUGAACUUAGACUGGGAAAUACUGAGUUUAAAAUUGCUGACUGCUAGCCUUGGCCAGGUAAGAAACUAUGUUUCCCAUUAACAUUUUAUUGAACAUUUUGGUCAUUUCUAUAUUUUUUGGUGGAGAUGAAAUCUCUUCCAUGUAAUAUGUCAUAAAUUAUCAUAUGUCAUAUUUGUCCUUCUUUUAUAAAUCUUGAGUUGGAAGGAAGAGCCUUCUAGUAGUUACAUCUGGAUUGUGUAGUUGAUUGAGGCUGGAUCAACACUGCCAUAUAAUUCAGUUCAGACUGCAUAGACCCAGAGCCCUUCCACACAGCCAUAUAACCCAGAAUAUCAAGCCAGAAAAUCCCACAAGAUAUGCUUUGAGCUGGGUUAUUUGAGUCCACACUGCCAUAUAACCCAGUUCAAAGCAGAAAAUGUGGGCUUUUAUUCAGCUAUGUGGCAAGGGCCCCAUAUAACACAGUUUGAACUGCAUUGGCCAGCAUUAUAUGGGCCUACACUACCCAUAUAAUGCAGUUCCAUACUGUAUUACAGGGGUCCCCAAACUAAGGCCCGGGGGCCGGAUGUGGCCCUUCAAGGUCAUUUACCUGGCCCCCGCCCUCAGUUUUAUAAUAUAAUAUUUUUAUAUCAGUUUUAAUAAUAUAAUAUAUUGUAUAUACAUAUAAUAUUGAUAAUAAUCUUAUGUUAUACAAUAUAAUACUAAUAGUAAUACCA
rnacentral:lncRNA from 1 species